GGGGAUUUAGCUUAGCGGUAUAAGCGCCUGCUUGGCAAGCAUGAGGUCAUGAGUUUGAUCCCCU
rfam:Cavia porcellus supercont2_18 genomic scaffold, whole genome shotgun sequence.